UCAAUCUUCUUAAACAUACUAUGUUAAUUAUCAUGAUUAGUCAAAGAAAAAAUGCUCUGUUACACAGUGAAUCAGGCUUAGGGGUGGACGUGGUUCUCUGCAAGUAUGCGGUAAUCGAAAAAAUACUAAACUUGAAGCCAUGGUACUUUCACUCAAUAUUGUUUUGGACAACAUGUCAAUAGAUACAUACUUGAAGCCACAGUGACUCCACUCAAUAAAUAUAUUGCUUUGCUUAACGUCUGAGGCAAAACAUCUUCAUCAACAAAGUUCCUCAUCCCAUUCAUACAGAUGCUAUGAGUCUCAAAACAGCUAAUGUGAAUGUUCUUUUACUAACACAGCAGGUUUGCCUUAGGUAGUUAAUAAAGGGACAUUCUUUUUUUAAAAUUUUAUUAUUAUUAUACUUUAAGUUUUAGGGUACAUGUGCACAACGUGCAGGUUUGUUACAUAUGUAUACCUGUAUCAUGUUGGUGUGCUGCACCCAUUAACUCGUCAUUUAGCAUUAGGUAUAUCUCCUAAUGCUAUCCCUCCCCACUCCCCCAACCCCACAACAGUCCCCGGUGUGUGAUGUUCCCCUUCC
rnacentral:lncRNA from 1 species